UGAACGCUAGCGGCAGGCUUAACACAUGCAAGGUCGAGGGGCAGCACGGGUAGCAAUACCUGGUGGCGACCGGCGCAAGGGUGCGUAACGCGUGAGCAACAUGCCCUAUACAGGGGGAUAAUCCAGGGAAACUUGGUCUAAUAUCCCAUAGCAUUUAGAGGAGGCAUCUUCACUAAAUUAAAGCUUCGGUGGUAUAGGAUUGGCUCGCGUGACAUUAGCUAGAUGGUGAGGUAACGGCCCACCAUGGCUAUGAUGUCUAGGGGUUCUGAGAGGAAGACCCCCCACACUGGGACUGAGACACGGCCCAGACUCCUACGGGAGGCAGCAGUGAGGAAUAUUGGACAAUGGAUGGAAAUCUGAUCCAGCCAUGCCGCGUGCAGGAAGACGGCCCUAUGGGUUGUAAACUGCUUUUAUAUGGGAGCAAUAAGGUUUACGAGUAGACCGAUGAGAGUACCAUAUGAAUAAGCAUCGGCUAACUCCGUG
rnacentral:rRNA from 1 species